CCUACGGGAGGCAGCAGUGAGGAAUAUUGGACAAUGGGCGCAAGCCUGAUCCAGCGACGCCGCGUGAGUGAUGAAGGCCUUUGGGUCGUAAAGCUCUGUCACCAGGGAAGAACGGCCGUGCGGUUAAUACCCGUGCGGAUUGACGGUACNUGCANAGCAAAAUGUUC
rnacentral:rRNA from 1 species